rnacentral:rRNA from 1 species
GUGGGGAAUAUUGGACAAUGGGCGAAAGCCUGAUCCAGCCAUGCCGCGUGUGUGAAGAAGGUCUUCGGAUUGUAAAGCACUUUAAGUUGGGAGGAAGGGCAGUAAGUUAAUACCUUGCUGUUUUGACGUUACCGACAGAAUAAGCACCGGCUAACUUCGUGCCAGCAGCCGCGGUAAUACGAAGGGUGCAAGCGUUAAUCGGAAUUACUGGGCGUAAAGCGCGCGUAGGUGGUUUUGUAAGUUGGAGGUGAAAUCCCCGGGCUCAACCUGGGAACUGCCUCCAAAACUGCAUGACUAGAGUACGGUAGAGGGUAGUGGAAUGUCCUGUGUAGCGGUGAAAUGCGUAGAUAUAGGAAGGAACACCAGUGGCGAAGGCGACUACCUGGACUGAUACUGACACUGAGGUGCGAAAGCGUGGGGAGCAAACAGGAUUAGAUACCCGAGUAGUCC